rnacentral:tmRNA from 1 species
GGGGACGAUUUUGGUUUCGACGGGGAUUUAAACAAAAUCUGCAAAGCAUGUGGUGGCGCCCGACCACCUUAAAACGAGCAAGCGAAAUAAACGCAAACAAUAACAAUGUUGUUUCAAUGAACCAAGCUGUUGCUGCGUAAGUUGAACGACAAACUUGAUUGAAAAUUUCAAUCUGCUCAUCAAAGAUCUUGCCAAUUUUUGAAUUGAGUAUCAUCUAGGCAAAAAUUUUGUGUUGAGAUGCCUUUGUAAACACAAAAAACCACCAAGGAUCGCUUUUAAAACUUGUUUAUGAGUAAAUUAAAAGUUAAAUUCAAGCAUAAACUAAACAUGUAGAAAAAUUUUUUGUUUUGUUUUCGGACGAGGGUUCAAUUCCCUCCGUCUCCACCA